GUGGGGAAUUUUGGGCAAUGGGCGAAAGCCUGACCCAGCAACGCCGUGUGCAGGAUGAAGGCCCUCGGGUCGUAAACUGCUGUCGGAGGGGAAGAACUGCUUCAUGGCCAAUACCCAUGAAGUUUGACGGUACCCUCAAAGGAAGCGCCGGCUAACUCCGUGCCAGCAGCCGCGGUAAUACGGAGGGCGCAAGCGUUGUUCGGAAUUACUGGGCGUAAAGCGCGUGUAGGCGGUUCGGUAAGUCGGGUGUGAAAGCCCGGGGCUCAACCCCGGAAUGGCACUCGAAACUGCCGGGCUAGAGUCCCGGAGGGGAGGGCAGAAUUCCCAGUGUAGGGGUGAAAUCCGUAGAUAUUGGGAGGAAUACCAGCGGCGAAGGCGGCCCUCUGGACGGUGACUGACGCUGAGACGCGAAAGCGUGGGGAGCAAACAGG
rnacentral:rRNA from 1 species